GACGUAGGGGGCGAGCGUUGUCCGGAAUUACUGGGCGUAAAGAGCACGUAGGCGGAUAUUUAAGUCAGGUGUGAAAGACCGCAGCUCAACUGCGGGGUUGCACCUGAAACUGGGUAUCUUGAGGGCAGGAGAGGGAAGUGGAAUUCCUGGUGUAGCGGUGAAAUGCGUAGAAAUCAGGAGGAACACCAGUGGCGAAGGCGACUUUCUGGACUGACCCUGACGCUGAGGUGCGAAAGCGUGGGUAGCAAACAGGAUUAGAUACCCUGGUAGUCCACGCCGUAAACGAUGGAUACUAGGUGUAGGAGGUAUCGACCCCUUCUGUGCCGCAGCUAACGCAAUAAGUAUCCCGCCUGGGGAGUACGGUCGCAAGGCUGAA
rnacentral:rRNA from 1 species